ACCUACGGCCAUGCUACCCUGAACAAGCCCGAACCCAUGUGAUCUCAGAAGCUAAGCAGAGCCUGGUUAGUACUUGGAUGGGAGACCACCUAGAAAGACCAGGUGCUGGAAGCA
rnacentral:rRNA from 1 species